rnacentral:lncRNA from 1 species
UGACGGUUGAUGAAAAUGAAGAUGAUGGAGAUAACGGUUGAUUUGGUAUAAAGCUUGUUGCACUGGUACACACGGUCCCAGUCCCCAGGUUAGGGGAGUUUUGGCGCGCCCGUGAAAAGGUUCAACCCCGCCACAUUCUGUAUGUGUCUGUUCCAAGUCACGAGACGGUAAUGCAGUGUUUGUCGUUUGUUUCUAUAUACUAUAUAAUUAUUAUUUGUUUCUUUCGUUUUUAUUUUGUACAUUAAUCAGGCCGUUAGAUUUUUCGUUUGUUUUACAUUAUUCAUUUCUGGAAUUGAAGACUAUGCAGUAUGAAUUUUACUCAUUGUUGAAGCCCGUACGGGACCUAUAAUUGUUAAUUUAUGUCUCAUUUGGUCCCAUUUGGAGAGCUGUCUCAUUUGCAAUCAUAUCACAUCUUUUUUUAUAUGGAAUACUUUUGAAAUUUGUGGUACGUUGCAAGGAAAAAAAGGGGGGAUAUAGGUACAAAACCUAUAAUGUAAUAGACAUUAACCAGAGUAAAAUACACAACAAC